UUUCAUUGUUAAAAGGUUCAAAACUCAACCAAUCAAAAACGUUUAUACUAAUUAGCGACAAAAAUCAUAAUAACGGAAAACGUUUGAAAACUUAGAAGGGUGUAAGCUGAUCUUAGUGAAAACCGGCUGUCUUCUAACUUCGUAACUAUAAGCUUGUCUGAAAUAUUUUGAAGAAAGCGGUAAAAGGCUAAAACGCAUAAUUGUAGUUAUGUCGUCGCCUUGUGGGUUUGGAUUUUCAUCCUCGGCGUCGCCGUCCACUCUUGAGAGAGAGAAAUAGAAGCCAGUUCGCCUAUCGGUAUUGGCUUCAGCAGUGACCAUGAGAACACGAGGAGUCCGCAAAGUGUGACGAGCUUUCCUGGGGAUUUUACGACUCCUGCAUGUUCACUCACAGCUACCUAGCCUGUACUCUUCGCCUGUUGGAAUUGGAUUUAGCAGCAGUGACAACGAAAUCACACUAAGUCCGCUAAACGAUAAAGGGUAACUUUCUACCAGUUGGCCAUACACAUGAAGACAUUGAUGCAUUAUUUGGCUGUUUUUCAAAGCAU